GGGCGAUUAGCUCAAUGGUAGAGCGCUUCGUUUACACCGAAGAGGUUGUAGGUUCGAUCCCUACAUCGCCCA
rnacentral:tRNA from 1 species